rfam:Ovis aries breed Texel chromosome 6, whole genome shotgun sequence.
UCCCUGGGAGCUUAGGUGGUAAAGAAUCUGCCUGCAAUGCAGGAGACCCAGGUUCAAUCCCUGGUUGAGGAA